ensembl:lncRNA
CAUAAAAAGUACAUGGGGCUGAGUUCAGUGACUGGAAAUCACAGAGGAGAUAGGGCAGGGAGCGGAGACCGAUGCUGAGUGCUGCAGCUGCUUCUGCAGGACAGGACGACCCCUAUGUGUCCUGCUCACAGACAGAGCUCCCAUGAGACACAAGGGAGGAUGAAUACUCUCUCCUUGCCCCACACCGUCUCCCUCAGCCCACCCCCAUUUUCUCUCCAUCGCCUGGACUGAGUCUGAGGCUGCCACACGCACCGGCUGCAAUGGUUGUUCGGAGUGUUUUUAGUGCAAUGCUGUGUGGUUGCUGGGAUGUUCUGGUGGCUGUCAAUGGUUCUGGGUGUUUCCUUACUAGCUCAAGCAAAAGUCAAUACAAUUUCUGGUACUUCAUAUUGUUCGGUUAACUCCUUAAAAAUAAGAAUUUGGAAUAUGGAAUUCCUGU